CGGCGGACGGGUGAGUAAUGCCUAGGAAUCUGCUGGUAGUGGGGGAUAACGUCCGGAAACGGGCGCUAAUACCGCAUACGUCCUGAGGGAGAAAGUGGGGGAUCUUCGGACCUCACGCUAUCAGAUGAGCCUAGGUCGGAUUAGCUAGUUGGUGGGGUAAAGGCCUACCAAGGCGACGAUCCGUAACUGGUCUGAGAGGAUGAUCAGUCACACUGGAACUGAGACACGGUCCAG
rnacentral:rRNA from 1 species